UGCAGUUAGGUAUGAAACCAAAGAGCGAAGUUCAGGCCGUGGUCUGGAAGCAAGCCCAGCCCCAACAGGUACAUCCUGCGAAGCCUCUGCCAUGAAGCAGGACAAAGAGGGGCACAGCUCAUGUUCAGGGGACGUGAUUUCAUGGAUUUGACUGAUUUUAGGGAUUUCUCUAGGAGGGGAGACUCAUUUGUGUUGCUGCAGCCCCAACUUGCAGACAAAGCAAUGAGUGCUGAGGCCCAGCGCCGGCUGUGCACACAGCGGCCUUUGGAUCGGGCCCAUUCACUGCUUCCCACUCAGUACCAUCCAGCCAAAACUGACCACAAAAUUGGCCCUGCUGUAUUGAGGGAACUUUCACCAAUAUCUGCUCAUUUGUCUGAGCUCUCCCCAUUCUACCCUCCUGAAUACGACCCCGCAAAGCCGUGCGGAGGCCGCCCGCUGCCUGCCUCCUCUUGUCCCCUCUCCCACCGCCAUCAGCCCCUCCAGACAGCCAAAAUAUUUCCCUCAGGUUUCAGUGUGCCACGGUGCAGGAAGCUGUCCCUCAAACAGGCCUUCAGAAUUUGCAUAGUGGUUGUGGUCUAAUCAUUUCUUCUACCCCUGCGAAGGAAAAAGCAAGGCCAACAGUUACCAUAUGGGAAAGGUAUAAUUCAAAGCUCUGUUUAGCGAGUGCUAUGAGGACAAAUGCGCACGCACAAUUAUCUUCGUGCUGAGAUGGGGCUGAGUGGAGGUAUUUACAGUAAAGUCUGUAACUUCAGUGACUUCUACAUGGAACUAAAGGCAAGGUCCCAGUGAACUAACAGCCCCUACAGAUGAUCCUUUGCAAACGUUUUUUAUUUUGUGUAUUUUCCCUUCCAGCAGCGCGAUGUAUUUCAUCACACAUGUGCACAUGCACACGCGCGUUUGUGAAAAAUAAACGUGUGUGUGUGUGUGUGUGUGUGUGUGUGUGUGUGUGCGCGCGCACAGAGAUACUGGAAAUGUCUUCUGUGCAUAUUAUACAACAUAUGCCAUUCAU